AAAGAAACUAACAAGGAUUCCCCUAGUAACGGCGAGUGAAGCGGGAAGAGCUCAAAUUUAAAAUCUGGUUUGCUUGCAAAUCCGAGUUGUAGUCUGAAGAAGCGUUUUCCAUGAAAAUCGAGGCACAAGUCCUUUGGAACAGGGCAUCAUAGAGGGUGAGAAUCCCGUCCAUGGUCUCGAAUCUUUCAUUUUGUGAUACGCUUUCUAAGAGUCAGGUUGUUUGGGAAUGCAGCCUAAAAUGGGUGGUAAAUUUCAUCUAAAGCUAAAUAUUGGCGAGAGACCGAUAGCGAACAAGUACCGUGAGGGAAAGAUGAAAAGAACUUUGAAAAGAGAGUUAAAAAGUACGUGAAAUUGUUGAAAGGGAACCGUUUGAAGCCAGUCUUGCUUAUUUGUGAUCAGUUUUGGCUUUGGCCAGAAUGCACUCUCAAAUUAUGCAGGUCAACGUCAGUUUGAGAGGCGGGAAAAAAGCUUGAGGAAUGUGGCCUUCGGGUGUUAUAGCCUCUUGCUAAAUACCGUCUCAUGGACUGAGGCUCGCAGCAAAAAUUUGGGCAGGCGUGCUUCUGAGGGGAAUCAUUAUCAAGACAGCUUGCUGACUUGGUUUUGCCCAACUUCACAGUACGUUUCGCUUCUAAUUUGCUUAGGUCGUUGACAUAAUGGCUUUAAAUGACCCGUCUUGAAACACGGACCAAGGAGUCUAACAUAUAUGCGAGUAUUUGGGUGGCAAACCCACAUGCGCAAUGAAAGUGAAAUUAGGUGCCAAACCUUCACGGGUGGCAGCAUCGGCCGGCUCUGACGUUUUAACUGACGAGUCUGAGCAGAAGCAUACAUGUUGGGACCCGAAA
rnacentral:rRNA from 1 species